AUAAAAUGGCUGAGAGUUAGGCGAUAGACUGUAAAUUUAUUAACGAGGUUUUAUUCCUCUUUUAUCA
rnacentral:tRNA from 1 species